CCUACGGGCGGCAGCAGUGAGGAAUAUUAGUCAAUGGACGAGAGUCUGAACCAGCCAAGUAGCGUGAAGGAUGACUGCCCUAUGGGUUGUAAACUUCUUUUAUAUGGGAAUAAAAUGUUCCACGUGUGGGAUUUUGUAUGUACCAUAUGAAUAAGGAUCGGCUAACUCCGUGCCAGCAGCCGCGGUAAUACGGAGGAUCCGAGCGUUAUCCGGAUUUAUUGGGUUUAAAGGGAGCGUAGGUGGAUUGUUAAGUCAGUUGUGAAAGUUUGCGGCUCAACCGUAAAAUUGCAGUUGAAACUGGCAGUCUUGAGUACAGUAGAGGUGGGCGGAAUUCGUGGUGUAGCGGUGAAAUGCUUAGAUAUCACGAAGAACUCCGAUUGCGAAGGCAGUUCACUGGACUGCAACUGACACUGAGGCUCGAAAGUGUGGGUAUCAAACAGGAUUAGAUACCCGUGUAGUC
rnacentral:rRNA from 1 species